rnacentral:rRNA from 1 species
AGAGUUUGAUCCUGGCUCAGGAUGAACGCUAGCUACAGGCUUAACACAUGCAAGUCGAGGGGCAUCAUGCGGAUUGCUUGCGAUCCGUGAUGGCGACCGGCGCACGGGUGAGUAACGCGUAUCCAACCUUCCCGCUGCUGGGGGAUAACCCGGUGAAAGCCGGACUAAUACCCCAUAAUCCCCGUUGACGGCAUCCGAUUCGGGGCAAAGUUUUUUUUCGGCAGCGGAUGGGGAUGCGUCCGAUUAGUUAGUUGGUGAGGUAACGGCUCACCAAGGCUUUGAUCGGUAGGGGUUCUGAGAGGAAGGCCCCCCACAUUGGGACUGAGACACGGCCCAAACUCCUACGGGAGGCAGCAGUGAGGAAUAUUGGUCAAUGGGCGCAAGCCUGAACCAGCCAAGUAGCGUGGAGGAUGACUGCCCUAUGGGUUGUAAACUCCUUUUAUGCGGGGAUAAAAUGUUUCACGUGUGAGAUAUUGCAGGUACCGCAUGAAUAAGGACCGGCUAAUUCCGUGCCAGCAGCCGCGGU